GACGGAGGAUGCAAGUGUUAUCCGGAAUCACUGGGCGUAAAGCGUCUGUAGGUGGUUUAAUAAGUCAACUGUUAAAUCUUGAGGCUCAACCUCAAAAUCGCAGUCGAAACUAUUAGGCUAGAGUAUAGUAGGGGUAAAGGGAAUUUCCAGUGGAGCGGUGAAAUUCGUAGAUAUUGGGAAGAACACCGGUGGCGAAGGCGGCGACCUGGUCCGAUACUGACGCUGAGGCGCGAAAGCGUGGGGAGCAAACAGG
rnacentral:rRNA from 1 species